rnacentral:rRNA from 1 species
AUACGGAGGAUGCGAGCGUUAUCCGGAUUCAGUUGGGUUUAAAGGGUGCGUAGGCGGACUAUUAAGUCAGUGGUGAAAUCCUGCAGCUUAACUGCAGAACUGCCAUUGAUACUGAUAGCCUUGAGUUUGGUUAAGGUAGGCGGAAUGUGUAAUGUAGCGGUGAAAUGCUUAGAUAUUACACAGAACACCAAUUGCGUGGGCAGCUUACUGAGCCGACACUGACGCUGAGGCACGAGAGCGUGGGGAUC